rnacentral:rRNA from 1 species
GGAGACAUCGCUCCUUGAAAGAAGAAAGAUAGGGAGUCGGGCCUGCCCAAUGACAGAUUGUUGAAUGGCCGCGGUACCCUGACCGUGCGAAGGUAGCAUAAUCAUUUGUCUUUUAAUUGAAGACUGGAAUGAAUGGUUUGACGAGAAUAAAGCUGUCUUUUUCUUAUUUAGUAGAAAUUAAUUUUGAAGUGAAGAAGCUUUAAUUUUUAUAAAAGACAAGAAGACCCUAUUGAGCUUAAACUGAGGUGGUUAAUUUAAUUUUAUUUUGAGAGAGAAAUUAAGGUGGUUAUUUGAAGUUUUGGUUGGGGCGACUUAGGAAUAAAAGAGACUUCCUUAGAUGUAAAGAAAUAUGUUAGAAAAUAAUAAAAUAAGUAGAUCCGGUAUUACCGAUUAAUAGAAAUAGCUACCAUAGGGAUAACAGCGUAAUUUUUUCUAAGAGCUCAAAUCGAAGAAAAAGUUUGCGACCUCGAUGUUGGAUUGAAAUUUCCAGGGGGUGUAGCAGCUCUUUUGGUUGGU